rnacentral:rRNA from 1 species
AUGAAGAAGCACAAAGACCACCUCACCUUGCUGUAUAAGGCGCACGAGAAACUUAAGGAUGACCUCAAUGCGGUGCUGAACCACCCACUAUUGCCGUUAGAAUUUGAACGAGCAUGGAAGGACCUCAUUCAGAUAUACAACUUGCAAGACGAUGAAGUGAUGAAUUGGCUAUGGGAAGACAGGCACGAGUUGAUCUCGGCUUACUACAAGGAAAUUUUCUGUGCUCGGAUGACUUCCACACAGAGAAGCGAGAGCAUGAACCGCAUACUAAAGAAAAACUUUGUCAAAGAGAAGCAUGAUCUCCAUCUAUUUGCUCAGCAGGUGGACAAGUGCAUUCAGACCAGGAAGGCCGUCGAGCACACAGAGAGAGUAGCAAAUGAGUCAGAGGUAAAGACAACAACCCAGUUUGGGUUCGAAGUUCAGUUAUCAAAAGUGUAUACAAGGGCAGUGUUUGCAGAUUUCAAAGAAACACUCUACCGUAGCACUACAUUCAGAGCAGAACGGUGCCCUGAGAACCCAACAAAGUAUCUCGUACACCACUACAACAGAUCGGAUGCAUUUGACUGGGCAAGGCAUAAUUUCCAAGUGGUCGCUGAUGAACAGAAAGGUGUCUACGAAUGUGAAUGCAAACUCUGGACACACACAGGGCUCUUUUGCAUCCAUGUGUUAUGCAUGCUUUCUCAUUUGAGAGUACUCAAGAUUCCUGAGGUGUACAUCAUGAAAAGAUACACCCAUAACGCAAGAUCGAAUGCGAUGUUUGACAAAAGAGACUAUGAACAAACAGCACCAGAUGGAACAUCGCUUUUUUGCCGUAGAAAAUUGCUGACAGAAACAGCAAUGGACCUUGCAAACAGAGCGACAAGGUCCGGCCGACGCUGGGUGCCACAGAGCAUUGUCUGGUAUGAGGGCACUGAUCGAGGAAGUUGA